ACUCUUAUAAAUUAUAGUUCGGCCGCUCAGAGAAUGCGUUUCUGACACAUCGCGAUUGAACUGACGACGUAACUUUGUAAUGGCGUUGCAGUACGAUAAAAAUAUUUUUGCUGGUUGUUUAUCGUUUUAACAAUUGUUGAGCAUUAAAACAACAUUAUUAUAUCAAUAAUAAUCAAUGAAUGUUGUAAUUUUGUGCCAAAUUGAGUGUCAAAUAACUUGGUAAACAAUAUUUUUCUAAAUCUAUACUGCGCUUAUUAAGGUUAUGUCAGCGCUUUAUAUUUGUAGUGCUGUGCUAAAAAUAACAGGCAAGUAUCGUAAUCUGUUCUGGUUGAUGGUUCUUAUACAGUUAUACUUAUAAUAUAAAAUAAUACGUUUUGUUUUUCUUUUUAAGAAUUUGAAAAUAAUGGACUAUAGGAUAACUUUUAUGAAAUAUAAAAAUAAAACUAUGAUCAAACUGAACGCGCGAAAGAAAGUAGCAUUUUUAUAUUUAGGUUGAAAAUGGUAACCCCAAAUGGCAUCAUGGGCCGUCAUUUUGUGACGCUAAAUAGUCAUUUGUUGUCGUUUCGUGCGCUAAGACUAAACCUGAUUUUGGAAGAUUUUGACCGAGAUAUCAGGAUUGAUUCUGUUAUUGAUAAUACCUAAUAUACACGUAGGCGAAGAUGAUGAUGAAGACACCACCUCCUCAAGCGAAUCGGAGUCUGAUUAACAUUCUGUACGCACAUUCAAUUCAAUGUACUUACUUUAUUGCAUAGAAAUACAGAUUGUAACUUUGUAACAAAGAAUAAAUAAAACGAUUUUAUUAUAUGAA